rnacentral:rRNA from 1 species
GACGUAUGUUCAGAGUUUGAUCCUGGCUCAGGAUGAACGCUAGCUACAGGCUUAACACAUGCAAGUCGCGGGGUCUGCUUCGGCAGACAACCGGCGCACGGGUGAGUUAACGCGUGUCCAACCUGCCCCUCUCUUUGGCAUAGCCUUUCGAAAGAGAGAUUAAUUCCGAAUAACAUAGUUUAGUUGCAUGAUUCGACUAUGAAAGCUCCGGCGGAGAGGGAUGGGGAUGCGUUCCAUUAGGUAGUAGGCGGGGUAACGGCCCACCUAGCCCACGAUGGAUAGGGGUUCUGAGAGGAAGGUCCCCCACAUUGGAACUGAGACACGGUCCAA